rnacentral:lncRNA from 1 species
CAGUGUUGCCAUGCAUAGAUAAGGUGAUUACCAUGGACAUGAUAUGUUGUGCCUUGCGCACGUUCAAUACGGUCUUGGGGGACGUUGUUUUCGAGAAUAAAGUUCAGUUGUUAGUCCAGCCACCUUCCUGUCGCUUUGUCUCUGUCUGCCUCUCGAGUUCUCCCUUUUUCAAGUUUGCUGUCAUUCUCCUAGAAUUGCAGCAAACUUUGAGGA